CGAAAGCCUGACGGAGCAAGACCGCGUGGGGGAGGAAUGCCUUAGGGUUGUAAACCCCUUUUAUCUGGGAAGAACAAAAUGACGGUACCAGAUGAAUAAGCAUCGGCUAACUCCGUGCCAGCAGCCGCGGUAAUACGGAGGAGGCAAGCGUUAUCCGGAAUGAUUGGGCGUAAAGCGUCCGCAGGUGGCAAUGUAAGUCUGCUGUCAAAACCCAGGGCUCAACUACGGAAAGGCAGUAGAUACUGAAGGACUAGAGUGCGGUAGGGGCAGAGGGAAUUCCCGGUGUAGCGGUGAAAUGCGUAGAUUUCGGGAAGAACAUCGGUGGCGAAAGCGCUCUGCUGGGCCGCAACUGACACUCAGGGACGAAAGCUAGGGGAGCG
rnacentral:rRNA from 1 species